rnacentral:rRNA from 1 species
UAGGGAAUCCUCCACAAUGGGCGCAAGCCUGAUGGAGCAACACCGCGUGAGUGAAGAAGGGUUUCGGCUCGUAAAGCUCUGUUGUUAAAGAAGAACACGUAUGAGAGUAACUGUUCAUACGUUGACGGUAUUUAACCAGAAAGUCACGGCUAGCUACGUGCCGG